rnacentral:rRNA from 1 species
UACAGAGGUCUCAAGCGUUGUUCGGAUUCAUUGGGCGUAAAGGGUGCGUAGGCGGCGCGGUAAGUCGGGUGUGAAAUCUCGGGGCUUAACUCCGAAACUGCAUCGAUACUGCCGUGCUUGAGGACUGGAGAGGAGACUGGAAUUACGGUGUAGCGGUGAAAUGCGUAGAUAUCGUAAGGAAGACCAGUGGCGAAGGCGGGUCUCUGGACAGUUCCUGACGCUGAGGCGACGAAGGUCAGGGGAGCAAACGGG